UACGUAGGGUGCAAGCGUUGUCCGGAAUUAUUGGGCGUAAAGAGCUCGUAGGCGGUCUGUCGCGUCGGCUGUGAAAACUCGGGGCUCAACCCCGAGCCUGCAGUCGAUACGGGCAGACUAGAGUGCUGUAGGGGAGACUGGAAUUCCUGGUGUAGCGGUGAAAUGCGCAGAUAUCAGGAAGAACACCCGUGGCUAAGGCGGCUCUCUAGUACGGUACUGACGCUGAGACGCGAAAGCGUGGGGAGCGAACAGG
rnacentral:rRNA from 1 species